UCAACUUAUGUAACUGCUUUCCUCUUGAGCUGUGGUUGCUUUCAGUUUUUGUGAUUAUAUGACUUUCUGUCUUACAGAUGCUUCGCAUAGGAAAGUGUCACAUAUUCCUACAGAUAUGUGACACUUUCGAUUGUUUCGAAAGGUUAAAAAAGAAAAGAAAAGAAAAGAAAGAAGAAGAAAUGAGUCAGAAUAGAGGGAUGCCGCGUGACCUGAGCACUUCAGUCAGUCAUAAUAAGAACACUGUGGUCUGGCUGUCAGCUGUGCCUAGGAGAGAAGGAGGGUGACGUGGCAAAGCCUCCUCUGCUCACAGCUGCAGCCCGCGGGUACAGCAGCGCAUUUGACUCAGAAGUCAAACCACAGGAGAAUGACAGCCCAGUGUCUGCUGAGAAGGGAAACUCUAUUUGCUGUCAAGUGCGAUGGUGUGACUGAGGCAGGCAGCCAUUGGCCGCCCCAUCCCUGUCCAGCGGACUCCAAACCCGACCCCAGAGCAGACUGAACAGCUGCAUCAGACCUACAUGGAGGAGCUAAGGAAACUAUUUGAUGAGCACAAAGGGAAGUACGGUAUUCCAGAACACCAAACUCUGGUUUUUAAAUGACUCUCCCCCGCAAGGCAUAAAGGAAGACAAGAGAGCGCUGUUGAAAAAAAAUAAAUAUUUUAAAUAAGUUCA